AUGGCGGCGCCCAGGUCCUAAUUCGGGAAACGUGCACCUUGACUAAUUCGGUUUUCUGUGGCUACGAGAGCAGGCUUGGCGGGCGGAGGCGCCAGCGGAUGUCUCAUGCAAGGAUCGUCUCUGUGGCUAAGCCUCACUUUCCGCUCCGCCCGGGUGCUCUCUAGAGCCCGGUUUUUCGAGUGGCAGUCCCCAGGGCUGCCGAAUACAGCAGCGAUGGAGAACGGCACCGGGCCCUAUGGAGAAGAACGCCCACGUGAAGUCCAGGAGACGACAGUCACCGAGGGGGCUGCCAAAAUCGCCUUUCCCAGUGCCAACGAGGUCUUUUAUAACCCGGUGCAGGAAUUCAAUCGGGACCUGACGUGAGCAGGGGUCAGACGUUAGCCUGGCAUCGGCUAGUGGGUCAGUGUGGAUGGCGGGGGCGGGGUAUGAGCUAGUCCUCUGUCUCCCACCAGAUGUGCUGUGAUCACCGAGUUUGCUCGCAUUCAGCUUGGGGCCAAAGGAAUCCAGAUCAAGGUGCCAGGAGAGAAGGACACGCAAAAAGUGGUCGUGGACUUGUCAGAGCAAGAGGAGGAAAAGGUUGAACUGAAAGAGAGUGAAAACCUGGCCUCAGGAGACCAACCUCGCACAGCGGCCGUGGGGGAGAUCUGUGAGGAAGGCCUGCAUGUGCUGGAAGGCCUGGCAGCUUCAGGCCUACGUUCCAUUCGAUUUGCCCUAGAGGUGCCUGGGCUCAGAUCUGUGGUUGCAAACGAUGCCUCCACCCGGGCUGUGGAUCUCAUACGCCGGAAUGUCCAGCUCAAUGACGUGGCCCACCUGGUACAGCCGAGCCAAGCAGAUGCCCGGAUGCUGAUGUACCAGCACCAGAGGGUGUCGGAGAGGUUUGACGUCAUCGAUCUGGACCCCUAUGGCAGCCCAGCCACCUUCCUGGAUGCAGCUGUGCAGGCUGGUUGCUGUGUGUGACCUGCACAGACAUGGCGGUGUUGGCGGGGAACAGCGGGGAGACAUGCUACAGCAAGUACGGGGCCAUGGCCCUCAAGAGCCGGGCCUGCCACGAGAUGGCCCUGAGAAUCGUCCUGCACAGCCUGGACCUCCGCGCCAACUGCUACCAGCGCUUCGUGGUGCCGCUGCUCAGCAUCAGCGCUGACUUCUACGUGCGUGUUUUUGUCCGUGUCUUCACCGGCCAGGCCAAGGUCAAGGCCUCAGCCAGCAAGCAGGCGCUGGUGUUCCAGUGUGUGGGCUGCGGGGCCUUCCACCUUCAGCGUCUCGGCAAAGCGUCAGGAGUCCCCAGCGGCCGGUGAGCAGGGAGGAAGGAGGAGAAGGGGAGUCCCAGGGUUUUCCUCCCUCCCUACCAACCACCCCUCUCUGUUUAGGGUCAAGUUCUCUGCAGCCUGUGGUCCCCCUGUGACCCCCGAGUGUGAACACUGUGGGCAACGACACCAGCUUGGCGGCCCCAUGUGGGCAGAGCCCAUCCAUGACCUGGAUUUUGUGGGCCGUGUCCUGGAGGCUGUGAGCGCUAACCCCGGCCGCUUCCACACCUCGGAGCGGAUCCGAGGGGUCUUGAGCGUCAUCACUGAGGAGCUCCCGGACGUGCCUCUGUACUACACCCUGGACCAGCUGAGCAGCACCAUCCACUGCAACACACCAAGCCUCCUGCAGUUGCGGUCGGCCCUCCUCCACGCUGACUUCCGGGUCUCACUCUCCCACGCCUGUAAGAACGCUGUGAAGACGGAUGCCCCUGCCUCUGCCCUCUGGGACAUCAUGCGUUGCUGGGAGAAGGAAUGUCCGGUGAAACGGGAGCGACUAUCAGAGACUAGCCCAGCGUUCCGCAUUCUCAGUGUGGAGCCCAGGCUGCAGGCCAACUUCACCAUCCGGGAAGAUGCCAACCCCAGCUCCCGACAGCGAGGACUCAAGCGCUUCCAGGCUAACCCAGAGGCCAACUGGGGUCCCCGGCCUCGUGCCCGGCCAGGGUGAGUGGUGGUAAGGUGGGGGUGGGGCUCAGCCAGGGAAAGAAGGGGUAAAGGGCAGAUGGGGUCCCACCUACUCCUCCCCUCGCACAGGGGCAAGGCGGCCGACGAAGCUAUGGAGGAGAGACGCAGGCUGCUUCAGAACAAGCGGAAGGAGCCGCCGGAAGAUGUGGCCCAGCGGGCUGCCCGGCUCAAGACAUUUCCUUGCAAGAGGUUUAAGGAGGGCACCUGUCAACGCGGGGACCAGUGCUGCUACUCCCACAGCCCCCCGACACCCAGGGUUUCUGCUGAUGCUGCCCCUGACUGUCCAGAGUCCUCCAACCAGAGCCCCCCUGGACCUGGGGCUGCCGCUGGGCCAGGCAUAGA
rnacentral:sRNA from 1 species